rnacentral:lncRNA from 10 species
GACUGCGGCGCUGGAACCCCGGCCCGGCAUCUGCUUUUCCGUGCCUGGAGCCUUGUCUCUCCGCACUAGCGCUGCACUGGCCCCUUGUCUCUGUGACAGGCGAAGAAAGAUCCCUGGACCGGGAUUAGGAGACGCGGGUUCUAGUUGCCACCUUGCCAACUGCUGGACAUCCUUGGGCAAACCACUUGGGCUCCAUUUUGCCAUUUGUUGAAUGAGAUUCCCCAAAAGCCCCUGACGUGCUGCCGCCGCCCCUUCUCCUCGAGGCAGUCCCCUGCCCUUCCCUUCUGCUGCUUACACUACCCUAUCACCACCCCUCAAUCUCUAUCUUCCUCUGCACGUCCCUUGCCCCUUCUAGUCCGCCACCUCUCUUUAGAUUUCCCGUUUUCAUUUCCACCUCUCCCGCCGAACGCCUCCUCUGCCCACCUUCCAGAGAGGCCUGGGUCUGGUACACGCUUUUCCACUGACCACCUGUGUGAUUCUCAGCAAGGCUCUCGGCCGCCUGCGCCCCACCCUCGUCCCCUUGCAGGGUUGAUCCGGUGAGACAGAAAAGGCUUUGAGAGCUGGUUCUGUGAAGAGUACAUGAAAUUUUGGCUACUUCUUUCAGGACUUAUCAGGUCUUACCAGGUCUGCACAAACCACGACGUCCUGGAAAAACAGCACAUGUAGAGAUGGGGUAUCACCGUCUUAGCCAGGAUGGUCUACGAUCUCCUGACCUCGGGAUCCGCCCGCCUCGGCCUCCCAAAGUGCUGGGAUUA